AAGACUUGAUGGAAGAGGAAGAUGAAGACUGUAUGGAGCAGGUGACUGAUCGCUAAGUUUCGGAUGCUGUACUCCUUGGCAACCCUGAGGACGGUCACCCUGCUGUCACCAUGUAACAGUGAACCUUCAGCAGGGGCAUACUGGGAGUUGUAGUUCUUCAGCAGCUGGAGUGCCUCAGGGCAGUGAGAUUGGAAUAAUAUGUAUAUACUAUAUGGUGACAAUAGGGAUGACUCCUGCAGUUGGGAAUCCCAGCCGCGCCUGGUUAGUCACAGGAGCCCAUAUGGUGCUGGAAGCCUCAUGGCAAAGGAAGUCGUGGGGAUCAUUCACAUUACU